UACGGAGGGGGCUAGCGUUGUUCGGAAUUACUGGGCGUAAAGCGCACGUAGGCGGAUCGUUAAGUCGGGGGUGAAAUCCUGGAGCUCAACUCCAGAACUGCCUUCGAUACUGGAAAGCUCGAGUCCGGGAGAGGUGAGUGGAACUGCGAGUGUAGAGGUGAAAUUCGUAGAUAUUCGCAAGAACACCAGUGGCGAAGGCGGCUCACUGGCCCGGUACUGACGCUGAGGUGCGAAAGCGUGGGGAGCAAACAGG
rnacentral:rRNA from 1 species